GAAGCCCCUAUGACUACUUUUAGGUAACACUUAUCUCUGAAUGGUUGUUAUUUCCCUCCUAAUGGAUCUUUUUUCUCAGGCACAGGUGAUUGUUGAGAAGGCUGAGAAAAGUGAUAUUCCUGACAUCGACAAGAAAAAGUCAGUUCUCAACUUCUCUACUAGAUAUCUGAAAAUUAUUUCUACUUAGGCUGAGAGAAGGCUGAGAGGUGAUUGUAUGGACUCUUUUGUUUAAUCUCGAUGUAUGAGCUCAUAUGGUUGAAUUCUUCUGCUAUAAUUAUAUAUUAUAUAUGUUGUACAAAUGAUG